CACUCAUUCACCAGUCACAGCUGACAGACAGCAUCUGCUUCUUUCACCUUUAUCUUUGAGACACUGAACCAACAGAGUAACAACAUGUGCAGGCUGAUUCUGACUGCAGGUCUCUGUUUGAUCAUCGCCAGCCUGGUGUCUUCUGACGAGGCAAACAAAUCUGGUGACAAAUCUGGUGCAUCCAGUGUAAAUUUCUGUAGCGGAAGGAGCGAUGGGCUUUACGCCUACCCACCUGACCCACAGCGUUUCUACCAGUGUUCCAAUGGGAACACCUUCAUCCUGAGCUGCCCAGCAUCUCUGGUCUUCAGCGCAAUCUCCAGGGUCUGUGACUGGCCCAGUGCCACGGGAACUUUCUGCAUUGGAAAGGCGGAUGGCAAUUACGUCAACACAAAUAACCUCAAUAGUUUUUACAUGUGUAGCAACGGCAGGACCGUCCUCCAAGACUGCCAAAAAGGUUUGAUCUACAAACCGAGCUGCAACUGCUGUCAGCAACCCUAAAGGGUUGCACAUUACCAUUUUCCAAGCCCUCAUAGGCAUUUCUUACUUCUCAUGAUUCUUUAUGGUUAUGUUACAAAAAAAAAAGAAAAGUUAGCAAUGGCUCUGCUUCACCAUUUGUCAAAUCAAUUUGCAAACCCCAUUCACGUGUCAAUACUGACUCGAUGAGAUUAAUUUCCGUAAUUUCUCUUUUGGCAAGAUCAAAUGAUCACACAAACAACUUGUAUGGUGUGUUUUGUCGAAUUGAUGCUUUCUUAGCGUGUGCCAAUUCUAGCUGUAUCUGAAUGAUGGAAACGUACUGAACAUGUCUUCGUUCUGUUCUCAGCCAUGAUUCGACCUGCCUUGCCUUACUUAAUAAUAGGGUUGCUGCAUAAACAUUGUCAUUGGUAGUGAACCUAUUAAAUGGUUUUGAUCUGUUCUCUAGUUGCUUCAUACGUAGCCAUUGCAUCACUGUAUUUCCUCCACAUGAUGAUGCACCUAUUGCAUGUUGCAGUAAGUGCUUACGUAUGUUAAAUCUAACCUCAAUCUCUGCUCAUUUGUAUACAUGCAUGAAAAAAUUCAUCUGAAUAAAAUGACAAAUUCAAAAUGA
rnacentral:lncRNA from 1 species